GAAAUUUGGUGACAUUCAAUUUUAAUAAAAUAUUUUAAUUUCAGAUUUAAGAAAGAUGGAUACAACCGAGAAAAUACAAGUGUCAGAGAUGGAGCAUACAAGAAUAUGUAUUUCGGAAAAGCACAAUAAAUAAAUAAAAUGAUAAAAAACGAGGUUAAAAAAUCAUCGAAAUUUAUCUUUCGGGAUCAUGACACGACACAUAAAUAUUCAUGCAAAGAUAAAUUUAUUUCCGAUGGAGUACAUCUGAAUACGAAAGGUCAAUACCAUUUAUACAAGUCAAUAAGAAGAGCAGUUAUCAAUGCCUGCAAAGAGAUUAAAUUAGAGAACAGAAAUUUACACGUAUCUGAAC
rnacentral:lncRNA from 1 species